rnacentral:pre_miRNA from 1 species
AUAGAAAUCUCCUGGGGAUUUUGCUGAGAUGCAUAUUAUGAGUCAGUGGGUCUGGGAUGGCACCUGACAUUCUGCAUUUCUACCAAGUUCCCAGGCGAUUCAGAU